GAAAGCGGAAUAAAGCCUUGUUAAUAGUUGGAGGACCGUUAUUCCUGCAGCGCAGAGGAGAGACCCUGAAACACGCGCCACCUAUCUUCACGGGGAGGGAUAAUUGAGGAGUACCAAACGUGAGCAUCUUCUGGGAAACGGAAUAAGUUUGGGGUUUGUUUUUUUUUUUUUUUUUGGCUUUUUGCUUUUUGCUUUUUCUCUCUUGUUUCAUGAGGCGAAAGUAACGAAUCGUAUCGAGAUUACCUUUCAAACAAAACGCUAAAAAAGAAAGUUGGAGAUGCCUGAACUUCUCUCCAAAAACCUUCGACAAAACUCGCGAUUUAAAAAAAAGAAAUAACGGAAUCUCAAGUGUGAAAAAGUCCGAACCCAAGAACAAGGACUCAAGGACUCAAGCGACGGCGAAAAGUGCACGGAGUGUGUUCUGAGUUACGGUCUGUCCGCGAGCGUCAGGUUCGCUCACGGUUUUCCCGUCGCGUGAUAGUCGAGGUCGGCUGACUUCAACUUAACGCCUCGCGUUCAGCGCGCAGCCCUUCUCCGUUACCGCUCCGGCUCGUGCUCGUAAAAGGAGGCACAUCUCACGCAGGUGCCAGGUGAACGUGAAAUAAACCCAAAUACAUGAUCUGACCACUGGAAGCGAAAGCACAGAUACCUUUUCACGAUUUUCCAUACACUUCUGUCAUAUUUAUGUGAAUUUAAAGAUACAUAUUUCAACCUGAUAAGAUUUUUUUAAUGCUUAUCUGAGUAAAUUGAGAGCCUAUGGAUUUACGCAAUUUACAAUCUCGUGAUUAUUAAUCGGACUGUUUCUGAAAUUUAUUUAUUUAUUUAUUUUGGAUCUUUGCUUUUUCGUUUCUGCACGGAGCUCCACCGGGCAGGCGGAGGGGAAGCCCCACCUCGAGGGGCCGUGAUUGGUUAUGUAAAUAAAGUGUUCCCGGCGCCCGCGCCUCCUGCACUUAUCUGGUGUAUGGAUAAUUAAACCAUCAAUCAGAGGGGAACGAGCGCUUGAUGCCUUUGUUCCAAGCCAAUCGGAUCGGGCCGCGGUGGCGCGCGCAGCAGGCGGAAAGGUGCUCAACAUCUGGAGUAAAGAAAUCCUGCGGAUAUGAGCGUGCAACCGCCACUUAAACGGUACCGGUCCCCGGAGAGAUAUUAACGCGCAUCAUUCGACUGUCGCUUAGAGAGAGAGAGGGGGGGUGCGUGCGUAUGUGAGUUUGUGUGCAUGUUUAUUCUUUUUGCUUUAUUAUUGGUGGACGUUUUCGUGCAAUGUCGCCAUUUAGUCUAGAAUGUCACUCAUAAGUGCUGUACUCAUAUACCUCCUAUAACUGUAUUUGAUCCAGUGAAAUUUGACUAACAAUACAAAUUUUGAAAAAUACUAAAAGAAACCCCCCCCCCCUCCCCCCCAAGAUUUAGAAUAAAACUAUGGAAUCAGAUCUUUGUAUAAGAGCUGAUCUGCCCUUUUUCAAAACUCAACACAUUACCACAUAGACAUAAAACCUGCAGAAGAUAAGGACUGAUUCUGCACAUCGCAUAUCACUACUCAGAAUAUGAUCUGAUAACCAGUGGUCACGAUAGGUCAGCUCGAGCCAGGCGCGCGCAUGCAACGGCACAGACGCGGUUACGCACACAUCCGCGUGUGAACGCGGGUGCUGAAGCGGGGAAGGGCUGCCCGAGCCACCAGAUCCCGUUUCCCACAUGCCGAACGCGCUUGCUGUGAGGACAUCACUCCUGUCGGUCUUACCCGGACAGCGCCCAACUCCAACACUACCGCGCACGUCGCUGUGCGGAGCUGCACGCUCACGGGGCACGCGCCGGAAGACGUCCACUUACGUAAAGCAGGACUGGAAAAAAAGCCACGCGCUGACCAGUACAGAAAGGAGAUCCAUGGGCAGCCCCAGAACAUCUGACAUCUGCAGUAGGGAUGAGGCAGCGUACUCACAGGUGGUAGGAGAAGAGGAAAAGAGACAGAGAGACGAUGGGGAGAAAGUUUCCUGUCUCUGAGAAAGAGGUCGAGUCCCCGGCGAUGAGAAAGUACCAGAUUGGAAGUCUUACGCCCAGCAGCAUUUUUGACUAUUUUGAUGUUCCAGCUUUGUGAAGCAAAGCCACAAGAGUAGAAGCAGAAAACACACCCAAUUAAUUCUGACAUUGACAGAAUUCUCUCUCUCCUUUUCUCUCUCUCUCUCUCUCUCUCUGUAUUCCUCUUUCUUUCUUUUUUCUCUCUCAUUCUCUCUCUCUCCAUGCUUAAAAAAGGUAAGAAGAAAAAAGAAACAGACAAUAAGAAAAAAGACAGAUAAACUUUCACUCUGAGAAGUUGAUUUAUGCCUUAUAAUAGACUGUCAUUAAGACAAAUAAUCCGGCACUGGAAUAACUGUUAUAUGUCUAAUCUCUACACGUUAUAUAUGGGUAUGUAUGAGUGGAUGUGCUCAUCUUUAUAGAAACAGAAUCACUAGUCACUGUCUUUGAGACUGGUGCAAGCAGUCACACGGGGGAAACACAUCUGUAACCUCUUCAGCACAGAUAACAAUAAAGCAACUCAAUAAAACACCAUUCUGAUUAACA